CCUACGGGAGGCAGCAGUGGGGAAUUUUGCGCAAUGGGCGAAAGCCUGACGCAGCAACGCCGCGUGGAGGAUGAAGGUCUUCGGAUCGUAAACUCCUGUCAGUGGGGACGAAAGCUCCGAAAGGAGUCUGACUGUACCCGCUGAGGAAGCCACGGCUAACUCCGUGCCAGCAGCCGCGGUAAUACGGAGGUGGCAAGCGUUGUUCGGAAUUACUGGGCGUAAAGGGCGCGUAGGCGGCUUGGCAAGUCAGAUGUGAAAGCCCCGGGCUUAACUCGGGAAU
rnacentral:rRNA from 1 species